rnacentral:rRNA from 1 species
GACGAACGCUGGCGGCGUGCUUAACACAUGCAAGUCGAACGGAAAGGCCCUGCUUUUGUGGGGUGCUCGAGUGGCGAACGGGUGAGUAACACGUGAGUAACCUGCCCUUGACUUUGGGAUAACUUCAGGAAACUGGGGCUAAUACCGGAUAGGAGCUCCUGCUGCAUGGUGGGGGGUGGAAAGUUUCGGCGGUUGGGGAUGGACUCGCGGCUUAUCAGCUUGUUGGUUGGGUAGUGGCUUACCAAGGCUUUGAAGGGUAGCCGGCCUGUGAGGGUGACCGGCCACAUUGGGACUGAGAUACGGCCCAGACUCCUACGGGAGGCAGCAGUGGGGAAUAUUGCACAAUGGGCGGAAGCCUGAUGCAGCAACGCCGCGUGCGGGAUGACGGCCUUCGGGUUGUAAACCGCUUUCGCCUGUGACGAAGCGUGAGUGACGGUAAUGGGUAAAGAAGCACCGGCUAACUACGUG